rnacentral:rRNA from 1 species
AUUGAACGCUGGCGGCAGGCCUAACACAUGCAAGUCGAACGAGUGGCGGACGGGUGAGUAAUGUCUGGGAACCUGCCCGAUGGAGGGGGAUAACUACUGGAAACGGUAGCUAAUACCGCAUACCAUCAGAUGUGCCCAUAUGGGAUUAGCUGGUUGGUGGGGUAACGGCUCACCAAGGCGACGAUCCCUAGCUGGUCUGAGAGGAUGACCAGCAACACUGGAACUGAGAAACGGUCCAGACUCCUACGGGAGGCAGCAGUGGGGAAUAUGGAACAAUGGGCGAAAGCCUGAUGCAGCCAUGCCGCGUGUAUGAAGAAGGCCUUCGGGUUGUAAAGUACUUUCAGCAGGGAGGCGUUACCCGCAGAAGAAGCACCGGCUAACUACGUGCCAGCAGCCGCGGUAAUAC